GUAUGUGAGGGUGCUCUGGCUGUGACAUGUGUCACCCCAUUGAUUUCCAGGGUUGAUUCAACUGCUCUGGCUGGCUUGGCGGGUGUCCCCUUCCUCCCUCACCACUCCAUAUGCCUCCUUCCUGAAGUCAUGUGCUCGGUCAAAGAGGAUGGCCAUCCCUGAUAGAGGAGGACCAGUGUUCAGUCAAGGGUAUUCAAGUAACUGUGCUCCCCUGCUAGAACCUCCAAACAUGCUCUUAAAAAUUGGCAGGGGGCUUAACCAGGGUUCCAGGGCUAGGAAGAAAACAAAAGCAGGCUCUGGAAUCAGUCAGCUGUCUCU
rnacentral:snRNA from 1 species